CUUUGAAUGGCCUCAGGAAGUUACCUGUACAUCUGUUCAGCCCUUCACCUUGCCAGGGUAUCUCCACCUGAAAGAACCAGGUUGCCAGUGAAGUCGGCACUGGGGCUACUUUGUAGUCCUAACGUAACCCUGUUAAUGUGCUCAAACGCUGUGCUUACUGACUGCGUAGAAAAGUCAUUUCUAUACUGCCUGCCUGAUCAGGCAACUCCUGAGCACGUGCAGGUCUUCCCCCUGCAGGAGAAUGUCAGGGCUGGUGGAUUUUGCUUUAUUUUUGCUGGUCCAGAGGGGAGAGGAGGCUCUCCUUGAAGGGCUCCAGGAUGUGACUGCAGUAUGAAGGCUCUGCUUCACUGCACAGCUUGGGAAGAUUCUCUGGGGACUUGGUCAGCCGGGAACCUGCAAGGCAUCCUGAGUCUCGACCCUGUAAGUACUGCUGUCACCUUUACGGUUGUUCUGCG
rnacentral:lncRNA from 1 species